GCGGCGGCGGCGCGCGGCCCCACUCGGCCUCACUCCGCGUCCGCGCCCGCCGCGCCGGCGCCGUCUGCGAGCUGCAGUCGAGUGGGCGCCGGGUGUCCAGGCUCCCGCUGCGGCCACUCAGGGGUCCAGGCGCGCGGCCCGGAGUCGGGGUCGGACGGGCGAGAGGACGAGCUCCCGCCACCGCCACCUCCCGGACCCGUCCUGGGUCUCCGCCCCGCGCCCGAAUCCCGGUCGCCCUUCAGUCGUCGGCGGGACGACAGGAGGGCCCUGGAGAGAGACCCAGCGCGGAGUGGCUCGGGCGCAGCGGGCCGUGGCGCCGCGAGGCGAGGACGCUGCCUUCAGUCCCCGGGAGGAGCGGGUCGGGACGGAGACACUAGAGAAAGGCUGGAGGGAACACUCUGCUCCCGGGUGCGCAGUAGUUUCCCUUCUCGAGUCCUUCGUGACUUUCUGUGGAUCCGUCUCCUCCUGGAGUCUCCCCUGCCCGCGACUUCAGUGUCCUCGGGAAAGAAAAGCUCCCCCUGUUCCAUUCAGUUAAAAGUACAAGGUUCUGAAUAGAAGACCCGAGAGGCAGCGAUUUCUGGACAAGGAAAUGAUCGAAGUCUCGUGCUGCCCAGGAGUCAAGGCCCGAGGCUGCUCUCGCCCCCGCUGCCGGGCGCCCCGAGGCCUGGGUCGUUCCAGCAAAGGAGGACGUGGUAUCUGGAGAGGGAUCUGUGGCUUCUCUGGACACAUCGGGGCAAUCCGCUCUCUGCAGAGACACCUUCACUGAGGAUGACAAGUCCAAACGAAGUCCAAGCGCCUUCUCUCCCAGUGGGCCGAGUUCACUGAGGAUGACAAGUCCAAACGAAGACGCGCCUUCUCUCCCAGUGGGCCCCGAGCAGUCUGGGCCCGCCCUGCCUGCAUUGACCGGCGGCGGAAACCUCCUUUGUUUUCUCCUAGAUCUCAGACUUCCAGAAACAUUGAUUCUGUUCAUUGUUGCCAACUCCGUGGUUGCUCCUGUGGAGGAAGUGAUUUUUGGAGUCCUCAACCCUGACGUUUCCAUGAUGUCACUCCUGCGUGUUUAUCUGUAAAGAACAUUUCUUGCAGGAAAGCUGUGGAGUACGAGAAAUGGAAAACAUCCCCACUGCUGAGAAGCCAGAGCCCCACAGCGGACCUCUAAGUAGAGAGGCAUCCUAGAUGCAUUUCCUGAGGAGUUCAGGGAGCCCGAAGUCAUAAACUCAGUUUGAGGUCAGAGAUUUAGGAGUGCCUCACCUGGGUAGUUGCAGCUGAUGGUCUCUCAUGAGGUUGCAAACAAGACGACAGCUGGAGCUCGGGUCAUCUGAACGUUUGCCUGUGGCUGGAGGAUCCUGAGCCAUGUGCUCAGUAGGUGCAGGCAGGAAGACUCCCUUCCUCCUCCCGGGGGCCCUCUUCACAGGGCUGCCAUGACUUAGCAACUGGCUUCCCAGAGAGCCAGAUCCAUCACGUAAGUUCGUUCGGUCACAAAAGACCAGCCCUGAUACAGUGCCGUGGGGAGCUAUGCAAGGGCAUGAAUAUCAAGAGGUGAAGAUCACUGGGGGUCAUCUUAGAGGCUGCCUCCAGAGCCUGGCCUCUGACCACCGAGGAUCUACGUCUCUUCCAUAUGCAAAACACACUCACCAUUUCCCAAGAGGCCCCAGAGGUCUCAAAAUAUAACAUUUAAAUCGUAUCUAGGUGUAUGUAAGGUACCUCGGGUAUAGUUCCUUGGAUCUGUCCCUUGAAGAACAAAGGAAGGAAACUGCACCGAAGGAGAAAAUGCUGUCACCCCUGCAGGAGGCUUUGGACCCUUGACUCUAGAAUUAAUGUCUCUUGCUCCACCAGCCAAGCCACAUAGGCCCCAGGAAGUAGCUUUCAUUUGUCUACACAGAUGGUUUUAGCGAACAUCACUGCUGUUGAUUAGUAUUGUAAAUACACUCUUGGACUCGGGGAAGACAGCUGAAGAAAUAGUUCCAAGUCCAUGGGGCUGAUUCACUGAACAGAAGUGUAGUCACGUACUCUGAGUGCUACUUGGUGUUCACUGGGGAGCUGUUGUUUGUUAUGUUUGUUCUACGUCUAACAAACCAUCCCGGCUUAGAUAGAGGGGGGGUAAGUAGCAUCAAUACAAUAAUCCUUAUUUAUUUACGUUCGGUUUGUAAGAGUGGGACUCGAAACGUGGAACCAACUGAUUGUCUUCCGUAAAUACUUAUUAAUACUUAAUAUGCUCACUGGCCACCUUUUGAUGACUAAGAAAAACAAAACUAAUGACAAAGCAGGAAAAGUGGAAAGCAAUCAGUGGAGAGCAAUAGUUGGAAUUACUGUGUUUUGCCAAAUAUUCAUUGAUGUAAAAAAAAAUCAACCAUUCAUAGGGAAGGGAAUGUCCAGCAAAUACAACCCCUCCCCCCCACUUCGUGCCCUGAACUUCACUAGUUUGGGGAUGAUUUUACCUUCUAAACGAUUUUUUUUAACCAGUUUGGAACACCCUCAUAUGCUUUUAUAACCAUUACCUAACAUUUUUCAUCAGAUACGCACAAAGACUGUAAUGACUGGUAUAUUGUAAGCUUUUAAGUAUUUUUUGAAGUGUAACAUCACACUCCUUUAUUGUACCAAAUGGAAUCUAAAAACCAUAGUGAUUAAAUAACUGCCAACAUCCCCUGGAAAAAAUAAAAAAGCAUGCCCUUCUGUGACACUUGGAAAUUUUAUAUUUAUAUGAUUCUCUUGCUCCUUGAAUGAGUUUUAUGCCAAUAUAAUGUAUGUUUACUUAAAGUCCUUCUUUGAUCAUGCUACUCUACUAGUUUGCACCAAAUAUAAGUGUAAAUAUUGAAAUCUGAGAUUUUGCUGUUUGAUGGGACCACAAAUCUGUGUUAUAAUGAAUUCUUUUAGUUUGAGUUAUAUUUGCAUUUACUAGUAGUAUGCAGUGCAAACAAAACAUCACAAGUAGAUAAUAAAUUUGAAAACCCCUUUACUGGAAGAUUUUAACAGAAGUAAAUAUGGAGUUUGUCACCUCCUUCUCCAUGAAAUCCCCUACAGCAUAUAAAACCACCUCAACUGAAGGAAUAUUUCCAAUUGCUCUUUUAUUGGACACCCUGGAUGGAAGGGAUUUUACAAUUCCCGAACUUCAGGUAGGUGGAAGCUUUUGAGAAUUGACUGCUGGGAGACAGCAUGAUUUCAAAGAAAGCUGGGGAAGAGGAAUCCAAAUUAGAGGAGGAUAUGAAAGAUCUAAAAACUGGUUUAGGCUUUUGGGCUCAUAGCCUAAUGAGAAAAACUUAGCAAGAGGGAAGCAAGCAUAAAAAGCUUCCUAGCAGAGGAUGGUUUCGAUCCAUCGACCU